rnacentral:rRNA from 1 species
UACGGCCUUAUCAUGUUGAAACACCAGGUUCCUCUACAAUCCCCAAAGUUAAGCAACGUCGAGCCUGAUCAGUACCUAGAUGGGUGACUGCUUGGGAAUACCAGAUGCU